GGGAUUGUAGUUCAAUUGGUUAGAGCACUACCCUGUCACGGUAGAAGUUGCGGGUUCGAGUCCCGUCAGUCCCG
rnacentral:tRNA from 1 species